CGACAGAAGAAGCACCGGCUAACUCCGUGCCAGCAGCCGCGGUAAUACGGAGGGUGCGAGCGUUAAUCGGAAUUACUGGGCGUAAAGCGCAUGCAGGUGGUUUGUUAAGUCAGAUGUGAAAGCCCGGGGCUCAACCUCGGAAUUGCAUUUGAAACUGGCAGACUAGAGUACUGUAGAGGGGGGUAGAAUUUCAGGUGUAGCGGUGAAAUGCGUAGAGAUCUGAAGGAAUACCGGUGGCGAAGGCGGCCCCCUGGACAGAUACUGACACUCAGAUGCGAAAGCGUGGGGAGCAAACAGGAUUAGAUACCCUGGUAGUCCACGCCGUAAACGAUGUCUACUUGGAGGUUGUGGCCUUGAGCCGUGGCUUUCGGAGCUAACGCGUUAAGUAGACCGCCUGGGGAGUACGGUCGCAAGAUUAAAACUCAAAUGAAUUGACGGGGGCCCGCACAAGCGGUGGAGCAUGUGGUU
rnacentral:rRNA from 1 species